rnacentral:rRNA from 1 species
UACAGAGGUCUCAAGCGUUGUUCGGAUUCAUUGGGCGUAAAGGGUGCGUAGGCGGCGCGGUAAGUCGGGUGUGAAAUCUCGGAGCUUAACUCCGAAACUGCAUUCGAUACUGCCGUGCUUGAGGACUGGAGAGGAGACUGGAAUUUACGGUGUAGCGGUGAAAUGCGUAGAUAUCGUAAGGAACACCUGUGGCGAAAGCGGCUCACUGGACCAUAACUGACGCUGAGGCGCGAAAGCUAGGGGAGCAAACAGG